AUACAUGCAGUCGAGCGAACAGACGAGGAGCUUGCUCCUCUGACGUUAGCGGCGGACGGGUGAGUAACACGUGGAUAACCUACCUAUAAGACUGGGAUAACUUCGGGAAACCGGAGCUAAUACCGGAUAAUAUAUUGAACCGCAUGGUUCAAUAGUGAAAGACGGUUUUGCUGUCACUUAUAGAUGGAUCCGCGCCGCAUUAGCUAGUUGGUAAGGUAACGGCUUACCAAGGCAACGAUGCGUAGCCGACCUGAGAGGGUGAUCGGCCACACUGGAACUGAGACACGGUCCAGACUCCUACGGGAGGCAGCAGUAGGGAAUCUUCCGCAAUGGGCGAAAGCCUGACGGAGCAACGCCGCGUGAGUGAUGAAGGUCUUCGGAUCGUAAAACUCUGUUAUUAGGGAAGAACAAAUGUGUAAGUAACUAUGCACGUCUUGACGGUACCUAAUCAGAAAGCCACGGCUAACUACGUGCCAGCAGCCGCGGUAAUACGUAGGUGGCAAGCGUUAUCCGGAAUUAUUGGGCGUAAAGCGCGCGUAGGCGGUUUUUUAAGUCUGAUGUGAAAGCCCACGGCUCAACCGUGGAGGGUCAUUGGAAACUGGAAAACUUGAGUGCAGAAGAGGAAAGUGGAAUUCCAUGUGUAGCGGUGAAAUGCGCAGAGAUAUGGAGGAACACCAGUGGCGAAGGCGACUUUCUGGUCUGUAACUGACGCUGAUGUGCGAAAGCGUGGGGAUCAAACAGGAUUAGAUACCCUGGUAGUCCACGCCGUAAACGAUGAGUGCUAAGUGUUAGGGGGUUUCCGCCCCUUAGUG
rnacentral:rRNA from 1 species